rnacentral:rRNA from 1 species
CGACCGGCGCACGGGUGAGUAACGCGUAUGCAACCUGCCUGAUACCGGGGUAUAGCCCAUGGAAACGUGGAUUAACACCCCAUAGUACUUUUAUCCUGCAUGGGAUGUGAGUUAAAUGUUCAAGGUAUCGGAUGGGUAUGCGUCCUAUUAGUUAGUUGGCGGGGUAACAGCCCACCAAGACGAUGAUAGGUAGGGGUUCUGAGAGGAAGGUCCCCCACAUUGGAACUGAGACGCGGUCCAA